rnacentral:rRNA from 1 species
UACGUAGGUGGCAAGCGUUGUCCGGAUUUACUGGGCGUAAAGCGCGCGCAGGCGGACUGAUCAGUCUGGGGUGAAAUCUCCCGGCUCAACUGGGAGCGGUCCCUGGAUACUGUCAGUCUUGAGAGACCUAGAGGAGAGCGGAAUUCCCGGUGUAGCGGUGAAAUGCGUAGAUAUCAGGAAGAACACCGGUGGCGAAAGCGCUCUGCUAGGCCGCAACUGACACUGAGGGACGAAAGCUAGGGGAGCGAAUGGG